CUGAAAAUUUAGGUAAUUUUCGGGCCGGGCCUUGGUACUGUUCCUUGAAGGGCCGGUGCCAUUAGCCUUAACUCAGGCCCGAAACUUAAAAGCCCCCAAUGCUCUCAGAAACCCCAAGACGCCCUGGAGAUGUCUUCAAUCAUUCACUUUCAUCGUUCCUUCUACUUCCUCCGUUUUCAACGAAUCACCAGAGAACCGCCGCUGUCACCCCUCGACACCCUCGUGGUCUCGUUACCCUUCAGCGUUGAUUAGCUCACGCUGCUCAUGUAGGAUUCCCGGACGCGUGUUGCCGUCACAGAGUCGUCUCCCUUUGCAUCAAGUCGAAGAAGCUUUCGAUCGGGACCGGACAGUGUUUUCUCUUGAAUGGCUUCAUAUUCCUUGGGUGCUACUUGUUCUGUUUCCGGGAAUUCCUGUUUAAUUUGAUGAAUUUGACUUCGUAUUUCACUGCAAUGCUGUUUUAGAAGUUGGAUACUAUGCGAUCUCUCUAUCUCUGAACUUACGAUUUUGAGUUUUUUGACUAUCGUUGGUGGUAUAUAUGUUAGUGAUGACAGAGAUUAGAAGCUAUGUUAGCUUUGAAAGCACUUCUCUUUACUUCAUUAUCUCAAAACUAUGGUGUCCAUUGAUUUGUCUGCAAAAAUGUGCCUUUUUUUUAAGGUCGUUUAAUGUCCCAGUGCCCUUAUUUUGAAUAUCCUUACUGUUUGGAUAACUGUGUUUUUACUGUUUCGAUGCUCUAUGCAUUUAGAUUCCUGUUUCCUCGUGCAUAUUCAAUCUGUGUUUGGGUAACAAGAACGUUUGGCUUUAAUGGUGAAUCUGGGUUGUGCGGUUUUGAG